GACGAACGCUGGCGGCGUGCCUAAUACAUGCAAGUCGAGCGAAGUUUUUUCUGGUGCUUGCACUAGAAAAACUUAGCGGCGAACGGGUGAGUAACACGUAAAGAACCUGCCUCAUAGACUGGGACAACUAUUGGAAACGAUAGCUAAUACCGGAUAACAGUAUUUCUCGCAUGAGAGAUAUUUAAAAGUUGGUUAUGCUAACACUAUGAGAUGGCUUUGCGGUGCAUUAGCUAGUUGGUGGGGUAAAGGCCCACCAAGGCGACGAUGCAUAGCCGACCUGAGAGGGUGAUCGGCCACACUGGGACUGAGACACGGCCCAGACUCCUACGGGAGGCAGCAGUAGGGAAUCUUCCGCAAUGGGCGAAAGCCUGACGGAGCAACGCCGCGUGAGUGAAGAAGGAUUUCGGUUCGUAAAGCUCUGUUGUUAGGGAAGAAGGAUAUGUAGUAAU
rnacentral:rRNA from 1 species